rnacentral:rRNA from 1 species
UAAGGAAUAUUGGUCAAUGGACGCAAGUCUGAACCAGCCAUGCCGCGUGAAGGAUUAAGGUCCUCUGGAUUGUAAACUUCUUUUUAUCUGGGACGAAAAAAGGCGAUUCUUCGUCACUUGACGGUACCAGAUGAAUAAGCACCGGCUAACUCCGUGCCAGCAGCCGCGGUAAUACGGAGGGGUGCAAGCGUUAUCCGGAUUCACUGGGUUUAAAGGGUGCGUAGGCGGGGCAGGUAAUCAGUGGGUGAAAAUCCCUGGGAGCUUAACUCCAGAACUGCCAUUGAUACUAUCUGUCUUGAAUAUUGUGGAGUAAGCGGAAUAUGUCAUGUAGCGGUGAAAUGCUUAGAUAUGACAUAGAACACCUAUUGCGAAGGCAGCUUACUACGCAUAUAUUNACGCUGAGGCACGAAAGCGUGGGGAUCAAACAGGAUUAGAUACCCUGGUAGUCCACGCCCUAAAACGAUGGAUACUCGACAUACGCGAUACACUGUGUGUGUCUGAGCGAAAAGCAUU